CUACUAGUUUCACAUAAGUCUUGUCUGAGCCUUCCUGAGAUUGGAUUCAAGUGAACGUACGCAGAUCAGAAGGCUUCCUACAAUAAACUUUCUUAUACAUCUAGCUCAAGGUUUUUCCAGAUUCACACCAUUAACAUCAAGGAUGUUGAAGAACCUACUGAAGAACUAUCUUGAUGGCAACAUGACUAUAUCCUCUUGUGCCGUCAACUGAUGGGCCAGGGAUUUGGGAGUUAUAGGUUUAAUAUGGUUCAGCUUGAAGAAUUCAUCGUGGCCUGUUCAUUAAUUAAUGAUGCUAUAAACUUGAUGAGAAAUGCUAGGAAUUUAAUCUGGUCGAGUUGGACACAGCCGUAUCAAGGAAAUCUUCCAUUCUAUUCGAUGUUGAUAACAUUACCUUAGUGGAGGAUGCUCCUUCGUCACCUUAUGUCUCUGAAAUUGUCCCUAGGGACAAUUACAAGAAGUGCAAGUGCUCAAACCAUGUCAAUGUCUAGAAUUUGCUAAUAUGUGUUACGAGACAUGGUUAAGUCUUUUACUAAUUUCUAUCAAUGGCCAUGUAAAUCGAGUUCAUCAGGUAGUCUUUUGUAAAAAUUGAGUGUGGAUGGUUGUCACAUUAAUAUGAUUGUUUCUAUUA